CAUGGAAAGGCCAUUCACUUCAUUUUCAUUUGAUACAUGAUAAAACAAAAAUCAGACUUGGCAGAAUCCGAUAUCAGCACAAAAAUAUUGUAAACAGUUUUCCUGCUAAAUCAAAAUAUGUUUAUCGAAUCGUCGGAUAUGUGUAAGACCAAUAUGUGUACAGACCUAUGUAUGCACGUAGACCAGACCUAUAACUAAAAAAAGUCUAAGCAUUGGAUGCGUGGAAGUGAGUGAUUGAAGGGACAUGCAACUAUCCAUCUUAUCGAUGCCACUCGAAUCCCCCUGAUCUUUCCACCGGUUGGGUAUUUCGCAGGAGGAGGGAGAAUAACUUUUCUUUGCAUUCAUGCUCGCGAUAUUAUUCGAUAUGAUACGUACACUUGAGAUUGAAGACUUUCUUCCGUCCUCGCAUAUUCUGAAUUUAGCUUGCUUAUUCUUUCAAUCCUCAAAGGUAAAUAUGCCUACGGAGAAAAAGGAAAAACAUGUUGAAAGCUCAGGGUAAGUGAAGGUUUGUUUGAGUUCUGAGUAAUCAUGCGAGAUUUGAAAUAUGUAGAUAACGGGCUUACUUCCACCAAAAUGUAUGAUGAAUUGCAUUUCAUCCCAGCUUCACACACAUAUACUCAUCUCAAUCUCUAACUUGUGUCCUUUAUUUCGCAGGAAUUUGUGUACUUUGUGUGUUUGCACAACAAACUCCAAUACUUACAAACUCUAUUCGAAACGAAGAUUGAAAUCAUUCUGUGAUUGAAUUAUAUUUUCUCCGACAGCAACAACAACGAAAUGUAUCCUAAAGUAAGUAAACUAAGGUACGCUCAAAGAUGAAAUUUCAUCCCUGCUUUAUCUCCAAUACUUUGUAUGUUCUCGUACAAAUCAUUAAACCGAGGCAAACAAGCAUCAAGUUUAGAAUCAUCAUCUUGACAUGUUUGUUGUACUUUGAAAGAUAUUUUUCCUUCCACCCAACGCAACACUGGAAAUCGGAAUUCAUGAACAAGUACAUACAUACAUAUGUCCAUCAGUAUUCAGAGACGGUAUAUGCACGGGGAGAGUAGAGCAGACAAACGACUCAAGGGGUGCUAACUACUCGUAUCAGUUACUGAGUAAUUGAGUAAUGAAUUAAUCAUUCGGACAUUUAUAAUCUUACGGAAUUUUCCUUGCUGGAAAGAACAAGUCGAACGUCACACUUAUCUCAAUGCACUACAACGGGGACAUGAUCCUGUGCAAGCCUUGAUUGAAAAUAAACUGAGAAACGUGGUGGAAGACGAGGGAAAAAAACAGUAAUAAAAUGUAGCGUCUACCAGAGUAAGUUUCAAGUGAUUGUUGAAACCAAACCACACAUUCUGAGUCUGCAACGCAUAUCUAAUGGUGAGUAAGUACGAGAGGUAUUAUUAUGAACGGGAGUCAGUAAACUGGUAUGGAUUAAGAAGUGAUGGAUGGAGAUAGAAAUUCCUAAACGUGACGUUGGAUGUCUUGAUAAGUUGAGCCUGAUUUCCAUCAUGCAAGAAAAUGCUCAAUUCCUUUUAGUAAUAUAAGACUUUAAAAUUUUCACUGUAUAUUUAUUGUGGUGAAUAAAGCACAAUCGAGACAAGCUCCGAGCCAACAGUGGGCAUAUUUUUUUAUAUCUCACUCACUCCUACAAUUCGAUGUGGCCACACGAACUAACAUGUUUGCUACAUGGCUGAUAUACACAUAAUGGAUAAAUGUACCAAAGUUUGCGAUGGAUCUACACUCUACGUAUAAUUUA